GGGGCUGUUUUUAGAUUCGCCCGGCGUACGAGGGAUUCGGUAAGCGUGCCGUGGUGCCGCCACGUUAAUAGGCAAAACUUAAAUUAAACGCUAACAAUAAUAGCACAAGCCGUUCCUACGGAAUGGCAUACGCAGCCUAGUUUAAGCCUGCGCGUCGACCUUUGCUCCGACAUACGGCAAAGAUUUCGGCGUCAGAAAGUAUGAAUCGAUUCUUUGCGUCCGUUUGAGCGCAUAGUUUUUAAAUUUUUCAAACUUGGUUUACGGCAGUUGGUUUACUUUCUUCCGUAAGCGACGCCAAAAGCAAACUUUGCACGAAGAAAGCCGCGUUGUUCGGCGUUGGUACACGGGUGCAAUUCCCGUCAGCUCCACCA
rnacentral:tmRNA from 1 species